CCCUGCCAAGAGCUUUCCCUCUUUCUGUUACUCUACUUCCUGUCCGUUUCACCCAGCUGGUUUUUAAAAGCCCCUCUCCAGAGCCAGCUGCAGUCCCAGGGAGAGGCGAGAGAGGGCCUGGGCAGGCAGUGGGUCGCUGCUGGCCUCUGUCCUACUCUCACAUGUGCAGGUCCUGAACCUUUCUCAGGCGCGGAACCCAAGUACUCUCUGGGUCAGGAUCUCGGACACAGCAGUGCCCAAAGGAAACAUGUCUGGUGUCUGGAAAGAAGAUUUGAGUUAGAAUGUGGCCUCCCUCACUUAGCAGAUACAUGAUGGUGCCAGGUUAUUUAACUUCCUAGAGCC
rnacentral:lncRNA from 1 species